rnacentral:rRNA from 1 species
UACGUAGGGUGCAAGCGUUAAUCGGAAUUACUGGGCGUAAAGCGUGCGCAGGCGGUGAUGUAAGACAGGUGUGAAAGCCCCGAGCUUAACUUGGGAAUUGCGCUUGUGACUGGCGUGCUGGAGUGUGGCAGAGGGAGGUGGAAUUCCACGUGUAGCAGUGAAAUGCGUAGAGAUGUGGAGGAACACCGAUGGCGAAGGCAGCCUCCUGGGCCAGCACUGACGCUCAUGCACGAAAGCGUGGGGAGCAAACAGG